AUUGAACGCUGGCGGCAUGCCUUACACAUGCAAGUCGAACGGUAACAGGUUAAGCUGACGAGUGGCGAACGGGUGAGUAAUAUAUCGGAACGUGCCCAGUCGUGGGGGAUAACGUAGCGAAAGCUACGCUAAUACCGCAUACGAUCUACGGAUGAAAGCGGGGGAUCGCAAGACCUCGCGCGAUUGGAGCGGCCGAUAUCAGAUUAGGUUGUUGGUGAGGUAAAAGCUCACCAAGCCUGCGAUCUGUAGCUGGUCUGAGAGGACGACCAGCCACACUGGAAUUGAGACACGGUCCAGACUCCUACGGGAGGCAGCAGUGGGGAAUUUUGGACAAUGGACGCAAGUCUGAUCCAGCAAUGCCGCGUGCAGGACGAGGGCCUUCGGGUUGUAAACUGCUUUUGUACGGAACGAAACGGUGAGCUCUAAUACAGUUUGCUAAUGACGGUACCGUAAGAAUAAGCACCGGCUAACUACGUGCCAGCAGCCGCCGUAA
rnacentral:rRNA from 1 species